rnacentral:lncRNA from 1 species
UGUGGGUGGUUCGCAUGCGGAUCACUUUUAACGACGGAUAAAAUCGUCGCUAAAUCUUUCGUCAUAGGGUCUGAACCGUGCGAUAUCUCAGAACCGUCGCGAUAUCUCAGAACCGUCGCGAUAGUUCAGAACCGUCGCUAUAGCAGGGUUCAGAUCCUAUAACGACGGGUUUAGCAACGAUUUUAUUCGUCAUUAAAGGUGGUCCGC